UACGUAGGGGGCGAGCGUUGUCCGGAAUUAUUGGGCGUAAAGAGCGUGUAGGCGGUUCGGUAAGUCUGCCGUGAAAACCUGGGGCUCAACCCCGGGCGUGCGGUGGAUACUGGAAGGCUUGAAUCCGGGAGAGGGAUGCGGAAUUCCAGGUGUAGCGGUGAAAUGCGUAGAUAUCGGAAGGAACAUCAGUGGCGAAAGCGGCUUCCUGGACCAGUACCGACGUUCAGGCACGAAAGCGUGGGGAGCAAACAGG
rnacentral:rRNA from 1 species